UACGUAGGGGGCGAGCGUUACCCGGAUUCACUGGGCGUAAAGGGGGCGUAGGUGGCCGUGUAAGUCCGGUGUGAAAACUCACGGCUCAACCGUGGGACUGCGCUGGAAACUACACGGCUUGAGGACGGUAGAGGGAGACGGAACUGCUGGUGUAGGGGUGAAAUCCGUAGAUAUCAGCAGGAACGCCGGUGGAGAAGUCGGUCUCCUGGGCCGUUCCUGACGCUGAGGCCCGAAAGCGUGGGGAGCAAACAGG
rnacentral:rRNA from 1 species